UACGUAGGGUGCGAGCGUUGUCCGGAAUUAUUGGGCGUAAAGGGCUCGUAGGCGGUCUGUCACGUCGGGAGUGAAAACUCGGGGCUUAACCCCGAGCCUGCUUCCGAUACGGGCAGACUAGAGGUAUGCAGGGGAGAAUGGAAUUCCUGGUGUAGCGGUGAAAUGCGUAGAGAUCGGGAGGAACAUCAGUGGCGAAGGCGGCCAUCUGGGACAACACUGACGCUGAGGCACGAAAGCGUGGGGAGCAAACAGG
rnacentral:rRNA from 1 species